CUCCUCAUGCUGAUCAUCCCCAUGUAAGCCUUUCAUCACGAUUUUUUGUAUAGAACGCUAGAUCAUGGUUUGACUUUUUCGACGUCCCUGAUUUAAUCUGGAAUCUGAUCAGACGCUCCGGAUUAAUCCAACUUCAACGCUUGAUCUAGGACGAUCUAGGCCAAACCAGACUUAGCUCCAGGUGAUUGACGGUUUGAGUUGGUGGACGAUUGUGGAUCGUAUUUUGAGCUGAAUUUAAGACGCAGCGGGAUUAUCGAGCGGGUAAUCCUACAGGACAGGAGAACCAGGACGGUGAUCGCGCGGUUAGAGCAAUUGUUAGAGUUUUACAACAAUUGUAAGUUGUGAGGUGUGUUAUGCUCAUUUGAGCUUUAUAAUAUAUUGUGAGAGUGAAUUGUAAUAAUGAACUCGAAGUUUCGAGAUUUGGUUUUUUGUAAUUGUAAUUAUUCAGGUUUCGGAUUUGAAUUUAUCAUUCAAAAUCCGGGGCG